UGCAAGUCGAACGGUAACAGGAAGCAUCUUGCUGCUUCGCUGACGAGUGGGGGAUGGUGAGUAAUGUCUGGGGAUCUGCCUGAUGGAGGGGGAUAACUACUGGAAACGGUAGCUAAUACCGCAUAACGUCGCAAGACCAAAGAGGGGGACCUUCGGGCCUCUUGCCAUCAGAUGAACCCAGAUGGGAUUAGCUAGUAGGUGGGGUAACGGCUCACCUAGGCGACUAUCCCUAGUUGGUCUGAGAGGAUGACCAGCCACACUGGAACUGAGACACGGUCCAGACUCCUACGGGAGGCAGCAGUGGGGAAUAUUGCACAAUGGGCGCAAGCCUGAUGCAGCCAUGCCGCGUGUAUGAAGAAGGCCUUCGGGUUGUAAAGUACUUUCAGCGGGGAGGAAGGU
rnacentral:rRNA from 1 species